AUACGUAGGGGGCGAGCGUUGUCCGGAAUGAUUGGGCGUAAAGGGCGCGUAGGCGGCCGCUUAAGUCUGGAGUGAAAGUCCUGUUUUCAAGAUGGGAAUUGCUUUGGAUACUGGGGGGCUUGAGUGCAGGAGAGGUUAUCGGAAUUCCCGGUGUAGCGGUGAAAUGCGUAGAUAUCAGGAGGAACACCGGUGGCGAAGGCGGCUUACUGGGCUUUUACUGACGCUGAGGCUCGAAAGCGUGGGGAGCGAACAGGAUUAGAUACCCUGGUAGUCCACGCGGUAAACGAUGAAUGCUAGGUGUUGCGGGUAUCGACCCCUGCAGUGCCGGAGUAAACACAAUAAGCAUUCCGCCUGGGGAGUACGGCCGCAAGGUUGAAACUCAAAUGAAUUGACGGGG
rnacentral:rRNA from 1 species